GUGCUCAGUUUGGCAGCACAAAUACUAAAACUGGAACAAUACAGUAACCAUUCUGGCCCCUGCCCAAGGAUGACACACGAAUUCAUAAAGCAUCCCAUAUUUUU